UGCGGCGGUGAAACUCUCUCUUUCCCUCGAAAAAAGUACUCCGAUGUCCAAAACCUAGCUGUUCAACUCCGCCGCCGUCGCGGUUGUUGCCGAAGCCGAUAUCUCCGUUUUCUUCUGUUUCAACGCUAUUAUGCCGACUUAUACAGCAAUAGCCUUUGAGAAUCUACUCGAACCUCGUGUUCGGAAAUCCUAUGGAAAGCAAGUGCUAAACGAGAGAAAUGAAGAAGAAA
rnacentral:misc_RNA from 1 species